rnacentral:rRNA from 1 species
UGGCUACAGGACGACGCUGGCGGCGUGCUUAACACAUGCAAGUCGAACGCUGAAGCCCAGCUUGCUGGGUGGAGUGAGUGGCGAACGGGUGAGUAACACGUGAGUAACCUGCCCCCUCUUUGGGAUAACGCCCGGAAACGGGUGCUAAUACUGGAUAUUCACUGGCCUUCGCAUGGGGGUUGGUGGAAAGGUUUUUUCUGGUGGGGGAUGGGCUCGCGGCCUAUCAGCUUGUUGGUGGGGUGAUGGCCUACCAAGGCUUUGACGGGUAGCCGGCCUGAGAGGGUGACCGGUCACAUUGGGACUGAGGUACGGCCCAGACUCCUACGGGAGGCAGCAGUGGGGAAUAUUGCACAAUGGGCGAAAGCCUGAUGCAGCGACGCCGCGUGAGGGAUGACGGCCUUCGGGUUGUAAACCUCUUUCGCUCAUGGUCAAGCCGCGACAUUGGUUGUGGUGAGGGUAGUGGGUAAAGAAGCGCCGGCUAACUACGUG